rnacentral:rRNA from 1 species
GAUUAACGCUGGCGGCGUGCAUAAAACAUGCAAGUCGAGCGCGGUGCGACUUCGGUCGCAUCUAGCGGCGCACGGGUGAGUAACACGUGAGCAACCUACCUUGGAGUCCGGGAUAGCCCUGAGAAAUCAGGAUUAAUACCGGAUGAUGUCAUCACCAGGCAUCUGGAGAUGAGAAAAGGCGCAAGCCGUUCCAAGACGGGCUCGCGGCCUAUUAGCUAGUUGGUGGGGUAACGGCCUACCAAGGCGGAGAUGGGUAGCUGGUCUGAGAGGACGAUCAGCCACACUGGGACUGAGACACGGCCCAGACCU